ACUCAGGCACAUGCUCUUCUAUGGACUCAUACAUGGCGCAUGGUCAUAUCUCAUCACUCUCCUGUUCACCUUCAAGCAGGAAAAAAUUAUUUAGCUUUACUAUAUGUUGAUUUUAGUAGAGCUUGGGAAAUUUAAAAUUUAGAUUUUAAAAAGAUAUCCUCUAGUAUCAGUUUGAAACACAACUCUAUCUAUAUUUAAAAAAUAAUGACUAAGGAAAGAUUAUUUUGGAAAUGGGUAUGAGAAACCAAUAAGUGAAGAAUCACUAAAAGAGCCAGAUUGCAAAAAUUCUGGAAAGGUUGAAAAGCAGCUGUUUCCUAAAUAUUAUGACUCUUAUACCUGUUUAAAGCCCUGUGUGCCAUAUAUGUGUUUUAGCAGGAGUUAAUAAUUUAAUCUUUCUUAUUUUUGUUGUUGUGAUAUCUGAAGCAAACUCAAAGAAAAGCAAAAAGAGCCCAAGUCAGCAGCAGAAAAGUAAAUUUAGCAUCUCAAUCAAAAUCACCUUUUACCCAUGAGAAUAUUCACAAAUAGUCAACAAGUAAGUUUUUGGUUAGUUUUUAGUUAUGAAUGUGCUUUCUUUCAGUUUUUGAGUAAACUCAUUGUGAGAGAAUGCAUUAUAAUAUAACAGCAAACCUGAGGCAGCAAGAGGAAAUUGAAAAGCUAUUGUUAAAAUUUUGAUUCUCAGAAACAAGAAGAUGAAGAAGUAGAGAUUUUAGAAAUUGCUUUAGAUUGCUAGAAAUAAUAUAUAUGAUAAUGCCUUAGGUGCACUACAACUAAAACAUGUAAAUCUCCCUUAGAAGAAACAAGAAGGUAAAUUUUUUUGUUUUAUUGUGUUUUGUUUUUCCCAUGAUCACAUAAAAUUUGAAAAAAACAAUUGUAGCUAGGACCAAAUUUAUAAGGUAAAUCCCUGUUUGAGCAAAAUAAUAAAAUGCUUUUCAGUCACUCUGCGCUAUCAGUGGCUCUACUGCCUAACUGAAGAUAUAGAAUUUAUGGACAAACUGCACCCACUUGCCAAUGGUAAUGCGGAAAAGUACAGUGUGUCUUCUGAAAGAAGUAGAUAAGAUACGGUAUGUCAAGCAUUUAACAGUAGUAGGAUAUAGAUAGAGAAAGAGUUUAGCAAGGCUUAUUAAAACAACUAACACCCCACACGGCUGGGUACCCCUCUGAGAUGAAGCUUCCAGAGGAACGAUCAGGCAGCAACAUUUGCUGUUCAGCAAUAUUUGCUGUUCUGCAGCCUCCGCUGCUGAUACCCAGGCAAACAGGGUCUGGAGUGGACCGCCAACAAACUCCAACAGACCUGCAGCUGAGGGUCCUGACUGUUAGAAGGAAAACUAACAAACAGAAAGGACAUCCACACCAAAACCCCAUCUGUACAUCACCAUCGUCAAAG
rnacentral:lncRNA from 1 species